GACGAACGCUGGCGGCGUGCCUAAUACAUGCAAGUCGAGCGGAACCAUUGGAGCUUGCUCCUUUGGUUUAGCGGCGGACGGGUGAGUAACACGUGGGCAACCUGCCCUGCAGAUCGGGAUAACUCCGGGAAACCGGUGCUAAUACCGAAUAGUUUGCGGCCUCUCAUGAGGCUGCACGGAAAGACGGUUUCGGCUGUCACUGCAGGAUGGGCCCGCGGCGCAUUAGCUAGUUGGUGAGGUAACGGCUCACCAAGGCCACGAUGCGUAGCCGACCUGAGAGGGUGAUCGGCCACACUGGGACUGAGACACGGCCCAG
rnacentral:rRNA from 1 species